rnacentral:rRNA from 1 species
CCUACGGGAGGCAGCAGUGGGGAAUAUUGGGCAAUGGGCGCAAGCCUGACCCAGCAACGCCGCGUGAAGGAAGAAGGCCCUCGGGUUGUAAACUUCUUUUAUCAAGGACGAAACAAAUGACGGUACUUGAUGAAUAAGCCACGGCUAACUACGGGCCAGCAGCCGCGGUAAUACGUAGGUGGCAAGCGUUAUCCGGAUUUACGGGGGGUAAAGGGCGUGUCGGCGGGACUGCAAGUCAGAUGUGAAAACCAUGGGCUCAACCCCUGGCCUGCAUUUGAAACGGUAGUUCUUGAGUGUUGGGGCGGCCGGCGGACUUCCGUUUGUAGCGGUGAACUGCGUAGAUCUCCGGCGGACCCCCAGUGGCGACGGCGGCCUGCUGGACAAUACCUGACGCUGCGGCGCGAAAGCGUGGGGAGCAAACAGGAUUAGCUACCCCGGUAGUC